rnacentral:precursor_RNA from 1 species
UUUGCCGGGGCGGAGGACAGAUAAGAUACUAAUAUAAGAGUACAGAGAGUACAAAUGCUUACAAAUAAAUUAUCAGCUGAGCCGGCUGAGAGAGAGUUCAUGUAUAUAUGUGUGUGGAUCAUAAAAAGCUAAGAGAAGAAGAGGGAGCGUACAGCCUUGGUGAAAAGGGUAGUAGGCGUCGCAAGUACUUCCACCAUCUAACAACUAAACCGCCCAAAGCUGUACUCUCUCUCUUCUCCAUUUAGCCUUCACGAUAUGAUCGUCUAUCGAUCUCCUUCUCUUAGUUGCUCUAGAAGUUGGAUCCCUCUGGGUUUAU